rnacentral:rRNA from 1 species
UAGAGUUUGAUCAUGGCUCAGGACGAACGCUGGCGGCGUGCUUAACACAUGCAAGUCGAACGAUGAAGCCCAGCUUGCUGGGUGGAAGAGUGGCGAACGGGUGAGUAACACGUGAGUAACCUGCCCUUCACUCUGGGAUAAGCGCUGGAAACGGUGUCUAAUACUGGAUACGACCCUUACAGGCAUCUGUUGGGGGUGGAAAGAUUUAUCGGUGAAGGAUGGGCUCGCGGCCUAUCAGGUAGUUGGUGAGGUAACGGCUCACCAAGCCGACGACGGGUAGCCGGCCUGAGAGGGUGACCGGCCACACUGGGACUGAGACACGGCCCAGACUCCUACGGGAGGCAGCAGUGGGGAAUAUUGUACAAUGGGCGAAAGCCUGAUGCAGCAACGCCGCGUGAGGGAUGACGGCCUUCGGGUUGUAAACCUCUUUUAGUAGGGAAGAAGCGAAAGUGACGGUACCUGCAGAAAAAGCACCGGCUAACUACGUGCCAGCAGCCGCGGUAAU